rnacentral:rRNA from 1 species
AUUGAACGCUGGCGGCAGGCUUAACACAUGCAAGUCGAGCGGGGGAAGGUAGCUUGCUACCGGACCUAGCGGCGGACGGGUGAGUAAUGCUUAGGAAACUGCCUAUUAGUGGGGGACAACAUCUCGAAAGGGAUGCUAAUACCGCAUACGUCCUACGGGAGAAAGCAGGGGAUCUUCGGACCUUGCGCUAAUAGAUGAGCCUAAGUCGGAUUAGCUAGUUGGUGGGGUAAAGGCCUACCAAGGCGACGAUCUGUAGCGGGUCUGAGAGGAUGAUCCGCCACACUGGGACUGAGACACGGCCCAGACUCCUACGGGAGGCAGCAGUGGGGAAUAUUGGACAAUGGGGGUAACCCUGAUCCAGCCAUGCCGCGUGUGUGAAGAAGGCCUUAUGGUUGUAAAGCACUUUAAGCGAGGAGGAGGCUACUCUAGUUAAUACCUGGGAUAGUGGACGUUACUCGCAGAAUAAGCACCGGCUAACUCUGUGCCAGCCGCCGCGGUAA